UGCGAACCCUUAGCUUCACUAUCCGAAAUUUCAUGUUCCUGAUCAGAAUCCGCAGAUCCUAACACCCAAACAGCACAAAUUGUUUGAAACACAAAAAUCCCAACCAAGUACAAGCCUAAUUUUAGGAGUGAACCUGUAGAAAAAUUGCCAACUUCUCCAUUCUCGACCUUGGCAGGGCUGGGGGUCGGGAGAGAAGAAAUUGACGCGAUUCAGUCUCAUUCUGAUGCGCAAUUUCAUCGUCGUCUCCGACAACGAUAGUGAAAGAUUCACUGGAAGUUUGAUCGAAGGAAAUCUUCUGAAGGAUUUCAUGGGAUUCAAUGGGAAGUGGAGAUUCUUGGGGGAGAAGAGUCAUGUUGGGGUAGGGUAUUGUUAAGGUUUCUAACAAUUUAGGGCGUAAAUAGUUCUUUUUC
rnacentral:lncRNA from 1 species